rnacentral:rRNA from 1 species
AAUAGAUACCCUGGUAGUCCACGCCGUAAACGAUGUCGACUAGCCGUUGGUCUCCUUGAGGGGUCAGUGGCGCAGCUAACGCGGUAAGUCGACCGCCUGGGGAGUACGGCCGCAAGGUUAAAACUCAAAUGAAUUGACGGGGGCCCGCACAAGCGGUGGAGCAUGUGGUUUAAUUCGACGCAACGCGAAGAACCUUACCUGGUCUUGACAUCCUGCGAACCUUUCAGAGAUGAGAGGGUGCCUUCGGGAGCGCAGAGACAGGUGCUGCAUGGCUGUCGUCAGCUCGUGUCGUGAGAUGUUGGGUUAAGUCCCGUAACGAGCGCAACCCUUGUCCCUAGUUGCCAACGAUUCGGUCGGGAACUCUAGGGAGACUGCCGGUGACAAACCGGAGAAAGGUGGGGACGACGUCAAGUCAUCAUGGCCCUUACGACCAGGGCUACACACGUGCUACAAUGGGGUGCACAGAGGGUUGCGAAAGCGCGAGCCGGAGCUAAUCCCUUAAAACAUCUCGUAGUCCGGAUUGGAGUCUGCAACUCGACU